CGCGCAGGCGGUCGUUCAAGUCGCGUGUGAAAGCCCCCGGCUCAACUGGGGAGGGUCACGCGAUACUGAUCGACUCGAAGGCAGGAGAGGGAAGUGGAAUUCCCGGUGUAGUGGUGAAAUGCGUAGAUAUCGGGAGGAACACCAGUGGCGAAGGCGACUUCCUGGCCUGUUCUUGACGCUGAGGCGCGAAAGCUAGGGGAGCAAACGGGAUUAGAUACCCCGGUAGUCCUAGCCGUAAACGAUGGACACUAGGUGUUGGUGGUAUCAACCCCGCCAGUGCCGAAGCUAACGCAUUAAGUGUCCCGCCUGGGGAGUACGGCCGCAAGGCUAAA
rnacentral:rRNA from 1 species